rnacentral:rRNA from 1 species
AUGAGCGGCGACGGCAACCUCGAGACCAGCAAGCGCCGCCGAAUUCGAGGGUGGAGCCCGAGCCUCCACUGGAGCAUGGAUCAGAUGUGCAGGAGGUGGAGCUCCACAUGGAUCACGACGUGGUCGUCGUGGGGGCCUGGAUCAUCAAGUCCGCAGGCGGCAUCGGGGGCGGUGCAAUGCCAGCUGCUGGACAUAGUUCACCCUGGGUUGGUGCUGAUGCACAAGGUGAAUUUCGAUGCCAAGGCGGAGUACGACAUGAUCCAGAACUACAAGAUUCUCCUGGAUGUGUUCAACAAGUUGUAG